UACGAGGGGGGCAAAUGUUGUUCGGAAUCACUGGGCGUAAAGGGCGCGUAGGCGGUCGUGACAAGUCACUUGUGAAAUCUCCGGGCUUAACUCGGAACGGUCAAGUGAUACUGUCGGACUAGAGUACAGAAGGGGCAACUGGAAUUCCUGGUGUAGCGGUGGAAUGCGCAGAUAUCAGGAGGAACACCGAUGGCGAAGGCAGGUCUCUGGGCCAUUACUGACACUGAGAAGCGAAAGCAUGGGGAGCGAACAGG
rnacentral:rRNA from 1 species